rnacentral:rRNA from 1 species
AUGGCGUCCAGCGCCUCCCGGUUCAUCAAGUGCGUGACGGUCGGCGACGGCGCCGUCGGCAAGACCUGCAUGCUCAUCUGCUACACCAGCAACAAGUUCCCCACCGACUAUGUGCCCACCGUGUUCGACAACUUCAGCGCGAACGUGGUGGUGGACGGCACCACCGUGAACCUGGGCCUCUGGGACACUGCAGGGCAGGAGGAUUACAACAGACUGAGACCGCUGAGCUACCGGGGAGCCGACGUCUUCGUGCUCGCCUUCUCGCUCGUCAGCCGCGCCAGCUACGAGAACAUCAUGAAGAAGUGGCUACCGGAGCUUCAGCACCAUGCACCCAGCGUGCCGAUAGUGCUGGUUGGUACAAAAUAUGAUCUCCGCGAAGACAAACAAUACUUACUUGACCACCCUGGCGUGGUGCCUGUUACUACAGCUCAGGGGGAGGAACUCCGCAAGCACAUCGGCGCAACCUGUUACGUCGAAUGCAGCUCAAAGACACAGCAGAAUGUAAAAGCUGUGUUUGAUGCUGCCAUCAAGGUAGUGAUCAAGCCUCCAACAAAGCAGAGGGAACGGAGGAAGAAGAAAGCACGACAAGGAUGUGCAUCAUUGGGUGUCCUGUCUAGAAGGAGACUGGCAUGCUUCAAGUGA